rnacentral:rRNA from 1 species
GGGGAAUAUUGCACAAUGGGCGAAAGCCUGAUGCAGCAACGCCGCGUGAGUGAUGAAGGUCUUUGGAUUGUAAAGCUCUGUCUUUUGGGACGAUAAUGACGGUACCAAAGGAGGAAGCCACGGCUAACUACGUGCCAGCAGCCGCGGUAAUACGUAGGUGGCGAGCGUUGUCCGGAUUUACUGGGCGUAAAGGGUGCGUAGGCGGAUGUUUAAGUGAGAUGUGAAAUACCCGGGCUUAACUUGGGUGCUGCAUUUCAAACUGGAUAUCUAGAGUGCAGGAGAGGAGAAUGGAAUUCCUAGUGUAGCGGUGAAAUGCGUAGAGAUUAGGAAGAACACCAGUGGCGAAGGCGAUUCUCUGGACUGUAACUGACGCUGAGGCACGAAAGCGUGGGUAGCAAACAGGAUUAGAUACCCUGGUAGUCCACGCCGUAAACGAUGAGUACUAGGUGUAGGAGGUAUCGACCCCUUCUGUGCCGCAGUAAACACAUUAAGUACUCCGCCUGGGAAGUACGAUCGCAAGAUUAAAAC